UACGUAGGGUGCGAGCGUUAAUCGGAAUUACUGGGCGUAAAGCGUGCGCAGGCGGUUUUGUAAGCCAGAUGUGAAAUCCCCGGGCUUAACCUGGGAAUGGCAUUUGGGACUGCAAGGCUGGAGUGUGGCAGAGGAGACUGGAAUUCCUGGUGUAGCAGUGAAAUGCGUAGAUAUCGGAAGGAACACCAGUGGCGAAGGCGGCUUCCUGGUCCAACACUGACGCUGAGGCGCGAAAGCGUGGGGAGCGAACAGG
rnacentral:rRNA from 1 species